rnacentral:rRNA from 1 species
UACAGAGGUGGCAAGCGUUGUUCGGAAUUACUGGGCGUAAAGGGCGCGUAGGCGGCUCGACAAGUCCCGCGUGAAAGCCCCCGGCUCAACUGGGGGAACUGCGCGGGAAACUGUCGGACUUGAGUUCGGGAGAGGGAAGCGGAAUUCCGGGUGUAGCGGUGAAAUGCGUAGAUAUCCGGAGGAACACCGGUGGCGAAGGCGGCUUCCUGGACCGACACUGACGCUGAGGCGCGAAAGCUAGGGGAGCAAACGGG